ACCUUAGAACUAAGGAAAUGGUUGGCCAUGGCCCAUGGGCAUAUCAAGAAUUCAAGAGGUUUACCUCACCAGUUGUGGCCAUGGGCAUAUCAAGAGGUUUAUAUCAUCAUUCAUGAUUCUAAUGUCAUAGUAAUUAAGGAAUACUUAUUACUGGAAUAAGUUAUGAAGAUUUGGAAGAGAUGUAUCGGCAAGGGGACAAGGUGGGGCCUGUGAAUUUGAGUUUUAUGUUCAUAUUGUUUAUGAUUGUAUUACUUUCUUUCUUAAUGCGUCUUGCUAGUGUAUCCUUUUGGUUCAUUCAGGCUGAGACCACUUGGGCUUUCACUGUAUUGGGAUACUUGGGGAAGCUUAUAAUGGGAAUCUUAGGGUGAGUGUUGAUUUUAUUGAAUCUGGUUACUGCAUUAAUGGUUUUGUGUUGUUGUUCAGAUAUCUUCAUCUGAUUCUCCUUCCUCCUUCCUCCUUCCUCCUUCCUCCUUCCUAAACUACAGGUACCUUUCUUCCCUAAUCUUGAAUUGUGUUUGGUCUAUUUCAUUAUUUUGCAGAAUUUUUUUCUUCGAGAAAUCGAGUUUUCUAAGAUUCAAUUUAAGGGUUUGGGUAAUUAUAAUUAGUGUGACGGUUUUAUUAGAUUUUUAGAUCUAUGCUUGUCAAUUCUUCUUUCAUUAUCAUUCUUUUGCUACUUAUAUUCAUAAUUCUUAGUAUCCUUGUCAGAUCUGCAACAACCAUAUAUUACAUGGUUUCUAAACAAGGUUAUAGCAGCGAAUGACGAAUCUUGAAAGUAAACAGGUGUGCAAGAUACAAUUGGAGACAUUUUUGUUCAAGAUUGGAAUGCUUAAUGACGUAAAAAUUCCAAUUUUUAUUUUAUUUCAGAAGUAGUACAUUGAUACUUGUAUAGAAAUAGCUUAAUAGACACUAGAUUGGUUCAUAUAUAUGACGAUUGUAUGUAUAUUGUUCUAUAUAUGAAGUAUAUGAAAUAUAUGCUGGA